GGGUUAAGUCCGUAACGAGCGCAACCCUUGUCCUUAGUUACCAGCACGUUAUGUGGGCACUCUAAGGAGACUGCCGGUGACAAACCGGAGGAAAGGUGGGGAUGACGUCAAGUCAUCAUGGCCCUUACGGCCUGGGCUACACACGUGCUACAAUGGUCGGUACAAAGGGUUGCCAAGCCGCGAGGUGGAGCUAAUCCCAUAAAACCGAUCGUAGUCCGGAUCGCAGUCUGCAACUCGACUGCGUGAAGUCGGAAUCGCUAGUAAUCGUGAAUCAGAAUGUCACGGUGAAUACGUUCCCGGGCCUU
rnacentral:rRNA from 1 species